ACGUCCGUCGUGAAGAGGGAAACAACCCAGACCGCCAGCUAAGGUCCCAAAGUCAUAGUUAAGUGGGAAACGAUGUGGAAAGGCCCAGACAGCCAGGAGGUUGGCUUAGAAGCAGCCAUCCUUUAAAGAAAGCGUAAUAGCUCACUGGUCGAGUCGGUCUGCGCGGAAGAUGUAACGGGGCUAAACUAUGCACCGAAGCUGCGGAUUCAUCUUAGGAUGAGUGGUAGGGGAGCGUUCUGUAAGCGGUUGAAGGUGUACCGGGGGGUAUGCUGGACGUAUCAGAAGUGCGAAUGCUGACAUGAGUAACGAUAAUGCGGGUGAAAAACCCGCACGCCGGAAGACCAAGGGUUCCUAUCCCAUGUUAAUCAGGGUAGGGUAAGUCGACCCCUAAGGCGAGGCCGAAAGGCGUAGUCGAUGGGAAACGGAUUAAUAUUUCCGUACUUGGUAUAAUUGCGAUGGGGGGACGGAGAAGGCUAAGCAAGCAUGGCGAUGGUUGUCCAUGUGAAAGUGAGUAGGCUAGUGACUUAGGUAAAUCCGGGUUGCUGUUAGGCUGAGACACGAGACGAGCACCCAAGGGUGUGAAGUUGCUGAUGCCAUACUUCCAGGAAAAGCCUCUAAGCUUCAGAUUAUACCGAAUCGUACCCCAAACCGACACAGGUGGUCAGGUAGAGAAUACUAAGGCGCUUGAGAGAACUCGGGUGAAGGAACUAGGCAAAAUCGUACCGUAACUUCGGGAGAAGGUACGCUCCUAUCUGUGAUGAGACUUGCUCUCUAAGCGGACGGGAGCCGCAGUGACCAGGUGGCUGGGACUGUUUAUUAAAAACACAGCACUGUGCAAAAUCGCAAGAUGACGUAUA
rnacentral:rRNA from 1 species